rnacentral:rRNA from 1 species
GACGAACGCUGGCGGCGUGCUCAACACAUGCAAGUCGAACGAUGAAGCCCAGCUUGCUGGGUGGAUUAGUGGCGAACGGGUGAGUAACACGUGGGCAACCUGCCCCAAACUCUGGGAUAACUCCUCGAAAGAGGUGCUAAUACCGCAUACGAACUAGACAGACAUCUCUACUAGUUGGAAAGAUUUUCGGUUUGGGAUGAGCUCGAGACCCAUCAGCUUGUUGGCGAGGUAACGGCUCACCAAGGCUACGACGGGUAACCGGCCUGAGAGCGCGACCGGGCACACAGGGACGGAGACACGGCCCAAGCUCCUACGGGGGGCAGCAGUGGGGAAUAUUGCGCAAUGGGCGAAAGCCUGGCGGAGCGACGCCGCGUGAGGGAUGAAGGUCUUCGGAUCGUAAACCUCUUUCAGUAGGGACGAAGCGAAAGUGACGGUACCUAAAGAAGAAGCACCGGCUAACUACGUGCCAGCCGCCGCAGUAA